AGAGAGAGGGAGACGCAGAAUCCAAAGCAGGCUCCAGGCUCUGAGCUGUGAGCACAGAGGCUCACAGGGGGCUCCAACUCAACGAACCGGGAGAUCACGACCUGAGCCCAAGACAGGCGCUAAACCGACUGAGCCACCCAGGCGCUUAUUAACAAAUCCUGUCAGAUUCCAGUUCAAGAUGGCGACUUCGGAAGGCUCUGAGCUCACCUCCUCCACAGAGCAGACGGAAUUUACACGUAUAAAUAGGAUAGUUCCUCCCGAAGAGAUCUGAAGGCUGAUGGAACAGCUACUGAAUAGCCAAAGACAGGAAGAAGGACAAGGCGGAGACAAGAAACACUGGAUGGAUACUGAAAAGGACACCCUACUGGGCCAAGCUGUGUAGGAGUACACGGGAUGCAAGUGUUCCAAACAUCCAUCAGCUCCUCGGUUCACCCCAGGUGCUGUAAGCCACACCCAUCCACACCUGCUUCCAGAUGGCCCUCCUUCCACAGCGUCCUAAGAACUGCCACCCUCCUGACAGCUACUGCCACAAGCAAACUUCAGGUGUUUUCAAGGUAUGUAAGUUGCAUGGUGCAGCCCAAGGUUGGACCACGAACUCAGACCAGCAAAGCCAGAAGUCAGGUGAGCUACCAUUCUGAAACUAAGUGAUACAUAACAAAUGGCUGACUAUGUGACAAAGGUAAUAAGUUGUAUUAGCUAAAA